rnacentral:rRNA from 1 species
GACGAACGCUGGCGGCGUGCUUAACACAUGCAAGUCGAACGGUGAAGGGACCGGUUUUUGCUGGUUCUGGAUGAGUGGCGAACGGGUGAGUAACACGUGAGUAACCUGCCCCCUUCUUCUGGAUAACCGCAUGAAAGUGUGGCUAAUACGGGAUAUUCUGCGCCUGCUGCAUGGUGGGUGUGGGAAAGAUAUUGUUUCGGUGGGGGAUGGGCUCGCGGCCUAUCAGCUUGUUGGUGGGGUGAUGGCCUACCAAGGCGGUGACGGGUAGCCGGCCUGAGAGGGUGGACGGUCACACUGGGACUGAGACACGGCCCAGACUCCUACGGGAGGCAGCAGUGGGGAAUAUUGCACAAUGGGCGCAAGCCUGAUGCAGCGACGCCGCGUGAGGGAUGGAUGCCUUCGGGUUGUAAACCUCUUUCGCCAGUGAAGCAGGCCUGUCCCUUUUGUGGGUGGGUUGACGGUAGCUGGAUAAGAAGCGCCGGCUAACUACGUG